UUGCACCGGCCACAUCACAUUUUUCCUGCACUCACCCUGACUCUCCAGGGCUGACAUCCUCAAGGUUCUUUGCUCUGGCAAAACCAUGCCCAUGUCCAGAACUAUGAGUACAUUUCACAAAUCUUCUCAGUGAGUAUAUAGAUGUUAGUUCUCCAAGAAGACUGAGGCCUUGCCUUCUACAGACACGUGGUGUAAUUGGGUUAAUAACCCCUGCCUCGGAAGACUGUCAUUAGGAGUAAAAGGAAAAUAAAAUGCACACAAAACAAGCAGCACACCUUAGACCCUCAAGACAUAGUCGCAUUCAUUACACUAUUCUUUAUGUAGUUCCCCGGUGGAUUUCUCCCAUGGGGGUAUUCAGCCAAUACUAUUAUUGAUUUUAAUUCCAAAGCUCCCUGAGGCUCUCUUCUCAAAAUGUUUUAACUCCUCUUACUUUUCUCCUUCCCCUUCCCUGUGUUUUCUAUCACGUUUGUCAUCUGUCUUUUCUGUUGUCAAUUUAGUACUUAGGCCCAGAUGGGAAUGAACGACAAGAGAAGUAAAGAAGGCUAUGAAGAGGAAUGAGCACUGGAACGGGAGUCCGCAGAUCUGAAACACAUCAUCUGACCCUCUGUCUACUCCCUGUAUGGCUGCAGGCCCUCUCCUCACCCGGCCUAGCCCUUUGCUGUGAAGUUGGUUCAUGCAGGAGCAAUGAGGAGCAUGGGAUGGAGGGGAGUGAUUUGGGAAGGUUGAAGUCAGUGUGACCCCAGAAACUACAUUUGAACAUCACGCAUGAAGCCCUCACCAGAAACUGACCGGAUCUGCGUGCCCAAUCUUGGACCUCCCAACCUCCAGAAUCAUGAGCUGAAUAAACCUUUUCUUUAUAAAUUA
rnacentral:lncRNA from 1 species